rnacentral:rRNA from 1 species
GACGAACGCUGGCGGCGUGCCUAACACAUGCAAGUCGAGCGAUGAAGCCCUUCGGGGUGGAUUAGCGGCGGACGGGUGAGUAACACGUGGGUAACCUGCCUCGUAGAGGGGGAUAGCCUCCCGAAAGGGAGAUUAAUACCGCAUAACAUAUUUUAGUCGCAUGACUAGAAUAUCAAAGGAGUAAUCCGCUAUGAGAUGGACCCGCGGCGCAUUAGCUAGUUGGUGAGGUAACGGCUCACCAAGGCGACGAUGCGUAGCUGACCUGAGAGGGUGAUCGGCCACAUUGGAACUGAGACACGGUCCAGACUCCUACGGGAGGCAGCAGUGGGGAAUAUUGCGCAAUGGAGGAAACUCUGACGCAGCAACGCCGCGUGAAUGAUGAAGGCCUUAGGGUUGUAAAGUUCUGUCUUCUGGGACGAUAAUGACGGUACCAGAGGAGGAAGCCACGGCUAACUACGUGCCAGCCGCCGCGGUAACAC